rnacentral:rRNA from 1 species
UACAGAGGUCUCAACCGUUGUUCGGAUUCAUUGGGCGUAAAGGGUGCGUAGGCGGUCGUUCAAGUCGCGUGUGAAAGCCCCCGGCUCAACUGGGGAGGGUCACGCGAUACUGAUCGACUCGAAGGCAGGAGAGGGUAGUGGAAUUCCCGGUGUAGUGGUGAAAUGCGUAGAUAUCGGGAGGAACACCAGUGGCGAAGGCGACUACCUGGCCUGUUCUUGACGCUGAGGCGCGAAAGCUAGGGGAGCAAACGGG